rnacentral:rRNA from 1 species
GUUAGGAAUAUUGGACAAUGGGCGCAAGCCUGAUCCAGCCAUGCCGCGUGAGUGAUGAAGGCCUUCGGGUUGUAAAGCUCUUUAGUCCACGAAUAUAAUGACUGUAGUGGAAGAAUAAGCCCCGGCUAAUUUCGUGCCAGCAGCCGCGGUAAUACGAAGGGGGCGAGCGUUAUUCGGAAUCACUGGGCGUAAAGCGUGCGUAGGCUGUUUUGUAAGUCAGAAGUGAAAGCCCAGGGCUUAACCCUGGAAUUGCUUUUGAAACUACAAGACUCGAAUUCGGGAGAGGAUAGCGGAAUUGUCAGUGUAGCAGUGAAAUGCGUAGAUAUUGACAGGAACACCAGUGGCGCAAGCGGCUAUCUGGACCGAUAUUGACGCUGAGGCACGAAAGCGUGGGGAGCAAACAGGAUUAGAAACCCUGGUAGUCC